rnacentral:lncRNA from 1 species
CGGCACAUUAAUAUCUCUAUGUAAACCCGACGUGUGGGCCUUUCCUCCGUAUUUCCUAAUAACCCGCUGCAGAAAUAGACAAGCACCAAAACUCGUGGAAUUCUAUCAGAUAAAACCCUAAGUCUGGGUGUUGGUUGCAUUUGGAUCCUUUUCCAUGAUUAGUUGAUGGUUAAAUGUGAACAUUAAGGACCGUCAACAAGCUCCCCCAAGCUUAACCUUUGCUCGUUCCUGAGCAAAGAUGAACUCAAGAGUUUCUACAGUGGUUUUAUGCCUUAAAGGUACACAUGUGUUCAAACAAGAUCUCAUCUCUGGGUUAGGGUAAGCUGUUAAGAUUUAAACUUACUCAUUUUAGCUUCCACCAUGGGGCUUGCAACCAUCACUUGUGUCUUGAGUAGUUAAAAGAUAGAACGGUCUAGUCAAGCGCCAUGUCUCUUGUUCUUCGAUUAACUAUAGCUCUGGAGUUUUUGCAGAUUUUCAAAUAAAACUCAGAGAUUCCUUGUAUGACUCUCUCUAGACUCUCUUUUGUGGUAUUUCUGGAUCCUUACCAAGGCAGUAAUGAUGUAUGCCUUCUCUCAAAGUAUAUGGUAUUUUUGGUAUGAGGCUUAGUGGCAUUGCCUUCUCUCUCACCCUACUCUAAUAAGGUUUUGAUAUCUGGAGCUCAUAGGUGGGAGACAACUAAUACAUACUUACAAGACAUUUAUUGCAUAGACAAACUAUGGAUCCAGAAGAACAAGUCAAUAAGUCAAAUCAAGAUGUGCAUGUGUGGUGAAUGAAUGGUGUAUGGUGAUGAUGGUGAUAAUAAUGGUGAAAGUCUAAUUCUACUUGUGCUCUUUUGAGGGGAUACAUACCUUUCUUGCUCUUUUGAAACUUUUUGAGGAGAAUGAGAUGCUCUUAUUUUCUUUUUCUUUUCUCUCAGGUGGGUAUCUUGUACCCCUAAUUCUAUUGUCGGACACUUGUCCAUUUUUACCUCUCGUCUCACUUUUUCUUUUCUUUCGAGGUUCCGGGCACUUGCCCCUUUUUAUUUCCUCAUAUCAUUUUUUAUUCUUCUUCUCUUUUUUGUAGAGCACUCAUCUCUUGAAAUAAUAUAGCAAGUGGUAAUAACCAAGAUAACUUGAGCAUUUAUUUCACAGGGAAAAUAGGAAUAUUUGUGGCUAUUCUCUCUCGGAUUAGGAGUAGAAUAUUUUUAGGUGAUUCUGGAGAUGGAAAUGGGUGGAUAUAUGUGGAUGCAUACUUCUGAAGUAGAAGCAGCAUGUGUGAGUGAACGUGCAAGUGAAUCUUGAUUUAACCACAUGACAAGCUCCUAAGGGUUUACACAUCUUGACCACACUCAAUGCUAAUAAGCAGUAAAAAGUAAAUGUGUGGCUCAAAGUCUAGCAAGCAUGUAUAUAUGGCUGUGGUAGGAAUUUAAACACUCAUCAUACAGGAACUCAUCACGUGAUAUUUUAAAGAUUUUCAAAGAUAAAAUUCUCCAGAAUUCUAGCAUCUCUAGGAACAGAUAAACAGCAGCUCAACGUUCCCAUAUCAUAUCCGUUAACGACUUAGACUUUAGAUCAAGUACUCUUCCCACAAGUUGAUGUUUAGAGCAAAUCUUAAUUUAUAACAGUCAUGCCUAAACUUGAGAGAGAUUUCAAUUUUGAGAACUAGUCAUGGCAGAGCUACUAUUCAUUAUUUCCAUGUGAGAGCUUAUCAUGAGGGUUCAUAGCCAACUUUAUUUAUUUAUUUAUUUAGCAAACUAAGCAACGAUAUAUAUAUAUAUAUAUAAGCACAAAAUCUUUAUUUGGGUUUUUAUGAUUAUGCAUCUUUUUAUUAUUUGAGUAAUGUAAAAACAUGAGUAGAAUACUUAGCUGGAUAAAUGCGGGUGCUCUCCCCCAAGCUGGAUUUUGACGUAAUUUCUCCUGAUGUAGCUAGCACCAUGACAGCGAUUAGGAUGUCCUCCGUCUGCUAGUCUUCUUUGAUCCUUGAAUUCUGUGGAGCUCAAAUAGACAACAAAGCUUUGUGGAACUAGUUAAGUGUUAUCAUAAAUAUCUAGCCUUUAUCAUGUUGAGCCUCCUCAAUAAAUGUUACACUCUUUGGUAGGAUCAUAAAUUUAUUUUUAUAUUUUCAUUUUUAUAGCACAUAAAUAUAUUUAUUUUAUUUUUAUGCCACCACAGUGAAUGUACUUGUGGGUUUUAUGCCAUGAGCAUACUCACAUGGGGCUUACUAUUUUUAACAUUUUUAUUUUCUUUUCAAGAUGAUAUAAACCUGAUUAACUAAGCAAACUACUUUAAAUAAUUGAAAGGAAAAGGAUAACUACCAAGUUUACCUCUUGGCAAGGCGUUCAGUGUUUUUAUGUCCUCCGAACGGGACUCUCCGUUUUCUCAGUCGUCCUGGGAUUCGCUGGAUGGCGUAGUCGGUGGUUCCGGCGGUGCCUCCUCUUCGUGUAUAACUAUCUUCUCUCUACACACCUGACUCAGUGCUACGGUCUCCUCAGGACAGUUCUGUUCAAGUUGUAUGUCUUCAGACCUUACCACUUCUCCUUCGUACUCUGUCCAUCCAUCCUUGAUGAUUUGCCUCCUCUGGUUGCGGUUGUGUUGUCUUCUCUUUGUCCUGACCUGCUUAGAGUCUUCAACUAUAUAGUUAGGGUCAGCAAAAUAGCGGCGUACCUUCUCAGAGGGGAAGUGUAUGUGGACUUCUCCGGUUCCAAUGU